GGGGCUAUAGCUCAGUUGGUAGAGCGCUUGCAUGGCAUGCAAGAAGGUCAGGAGGUUCGAUUCUCCUUAGCUCCA
rnacentral:tRNA from 1 species